CCUGUCUCCCAGAGCCUGUCUCCCAGAGCCUGUCUCCCAGAGCCUAAACUGUCUUUCAGAGCCUGUCUCCCAGAGCCUAAACUGUCUUUCAGAGCCUGUCUCCCAGAGCCUAAACUGUCUUUCAAAGCCUAAACUGUCUUCCAGAACCUGUCUCCCAAAGUCUGUCUCCCACAGCCUGUCUCCCAGAGCCUAACUGUCUCCCAGAGCCUGUCUCCCAGAGCCUAAACUGUCAGCUCUGCAGGGUCCUGGUCCCUGCCACCUUCGAAGCCAUCUCAGCAUGACUCACCUGCUGAGUGGCAGGCAGGGCGAAUGGUCCCCUACUCACCUUUGCUGGCUUUUCAUUGACAAAUUGCCUUUGUCCAUACAAGAAAUGAAUUUGCAAGAUAUAUCUUAAAUGCCCCCUGGUUGUGAACAUGGCUGAGGGUGCUAUGUAAUAAUAAGUAGUUUUUGUCUUCAAAUAAUAAUUCUAGCAUAUGAUCAAAAGCAAAUGUAUCAAGCUUUGUAACAGGCAACAGCCCCAGCUCGGGGGUUUGGGACGCCUUGACCAGCAGCCUGCAAACCUGGCUUCAUGCUCCUGCCAGGACUCUAGUGGGUGACUGAGGCCACCUUUCACCCUAAUGAGUCCAUCCAUCCUGAUGACGUCACCACGAGAAGACACCUCACAUCCACCUGCAUCAACACCCAUCAAGGGCGGGUGGAAACUCAAUGAACAUCUUCUCUCCCACAGGGCUCCCCGAGUGUCACAGCCACUGACAGCCUGCUCUGUGUGGCCCCAAGGACCUCACCCAGCCGGCCGCGCUCCCCGUGGUGCAGUGGCCCUCCUCUGCUUCUCUCCGAAUGAUGUGAAGCAAAUGUUACUGGAGAGCCUUCUUCCUGCCCUCUGGAGCGAUUCUUCUUAAAGUGAGCUCCCUAGAGCACUGCCCUGUCCCCCAGAUGUGCCCUGGAGCUCUGAUGCCCAAAUCCAAUGCUGGAGCCCAUAGGCCACGCGUGGGAAUGCCAAAGGACACGAAGCCAGGGGAAGUGCGCUCAGAAAAUGUUCAUAAUGUAAAAAGUCUUCAUUUCAUGCCUAAAUUGUCUGUUAGAAUUAAAUGUAAGCUCAUAUCAAAUUUA